AUGUGGAGGCUAUAUACAGGGUAUUACGGUACAGAGUCAAUGUGGAGGCUAUAUACAGGGUAUUACGGUACAGAGUCAAUGUGGAGGCUAUAUACAGGGUAUUACGGUACAGAGUCAAUGUGGAGGCUAUAUACAGGGGGUACCGGUACAGAGUCAAUGUGGAGGCUAUAUACAGGGGGUACCGGUACAGAGUCAAUGUGGAGGCUAUAUACAGGGGGUACCGGUACAGAGUCAAUGUGGAGGCUAUAUACAGGGGGUACCGGUACAGAGUCAAUGUGGAGGCUAUAUACAGGGGGUACCGGUACAGAGUCAAUGUGGAGGCUAUAUACAGGGGGUACCGGUACAGAGUCAAUGUGGAGGCUAUAUACAGGGGGUACCGGUACAGAGUCAAUGUGGAGGCUAUAUACAGGGGGUACCGGUACAGAGUCAAUGUGGAGGCUAUAUACAGGGGGUACCGGUACAGAGUCAAUGUGGAGGCUAUAUACAGGGGGUACCGGUACAGAGUCAAUGUGGAGGCUAUAUACAGGGGGUACCGGUACAGAGUCAAUGUGGAGGCUAUAUACAGGGGGUACCGGUACAGAGUCAAUGUGGAGGCUAUAUACAGGGAGGGUACCGGUACAGAGUCAAUGUGGAGGCUAUAUACAGGGGGUACCGGUACAGAGUCAAUGUGGAGGCUAUAUACAGGGGGUACCGGUACAGAGUCAAUGUGGAGGCUAUAUACAGGGGGUACCGGUACAGAGUCAAUGUGGAGGCUAUAUACAGGGAGGGUACCGGUACAGAGUCAAUGUGGAGGCUAUAUACAGGGUGUUAUGGUACAGAGUCAAUGUGGAGGCUAUAUACAGGGGGUACCAGUACAGAGUCAAUGUGGAGGCUAUAUACAGGGGGUACCAGUACAGAGUCAAUGUGGAGGCUAUAUACAGGGGGUACCGGUACAGAGUCAAUGUGGAGGCUAUAUACAGGGGGUACCGGUACAGAGUCAAUGGGGAGGCUAUAUACAGGGGGUACCAGUACAGAGUCAAUGUGGAGGCUAUAUACAGGGGGUACCGGUACAGAGUCAAUGUGGAGGCUAUAUACAGGGGGUACCAGUACAGAGUCAAUGUGGAGGCUAUAUACAGGGGGUACCAGUACAGAGUCAAUGUGGAGGCUAUAUACAGGGGGGGUACUGGUACAGAGUCAAUGUGGAGGCUAUAUACAGGGGGUACCGGUACAGAGUCAAUGUGGAGGCUAUAUACAGGGUGUUAUGGUACAGAGUCAAUGUGGAGGCUAUAUACAGGGGGUACCGGUACAGAGUCAAUGUGGAGGCUAUAUACAGGGGGGGUACUGGUACAGAGUCAAUGUGGAGGCUAUAUACAGGGGGUACCGGUACAGAGUCAAUGUGGAGGCUAUAUACAGGGGGUACCGGUACAGAGUCAAUGUGGAGGCUAUAUACAGGGGGUACCGGUACAGAGUCAAUGUGGAGGCUAUAUACAGGGGGUACCGGUACAGAGUCAAUGUGGAGGCUAUAUACAGGGGGUACCGGUACAGAGUCAAUGUGGAGGCUAUAUACAGGGGGUACCGGUACAGAGUCAAUGUGGAGGCUAUAUACAGGGGGUACCGGUACAGAGUCAAUGUGGAGGCUAUAUACAGGGGGUACCGGUACAGAGUCAAUGUGGAGGCUAUAUACAGGGGGUACCGGUACAGAGUCAAUGUGGAGGCUAUAUACAGGGGGUACCGGUACAGAGUCAAUGUGGAGGCUAUAUACAGGGGGUACCGGUACAGAGUCAAUGUGGAGGCUAUAUACAGGGGGUACCGGUACAGAGUCAA
rnacentral:lncRNA from 8 species